ensembl:lncRNA
UCCUUUAACAGUCUUUGUUUAAUACUCCAAUGUCACUGGUCAAAUGAGUUUCACACUGGGGAAGUUCUGCUCUUUACACAAUGGGAACAAUGCACGUUAGAUGACUGUGAGACCCUGACAUUUAUUCCGUGAACUUUAGUAGAAAAUGUCAAAUACUGAAAAUGUCAGACACCUCCCUCACAUGCAGGUUUCUACAGUAGGGGAGAGCGGGGUAAAUUGAGCCAAAGGGAUUAGUUGAGCCACCCCUUGUUUCUGGGAAACCAUACACAAAAUGAAUCAUGUGACCAAAUAUUUAGGAAGAGGUCAUAAUUUCAUGGAGUCUGUGAAGGAAGAAAACACAUGGAAAAAGUGGUAAGCAAGUUAGGUCAUUUUAAAAACAAAACUGAUUUUCACAAAGUCAAUUCAAUAUUGUGUUAUAUUGUGUUAUAGGUUUCAUGAUGCUUGUAUCUAAACCAAAGUAGAUGUACAUCGGUUGGGGUCUCUAUAAGCUACAAUAUGAGGUUCUAAACCUAGCAUGAAUGUCCAUUUUUGUAGCUGUGUGGGCCAAUAUAGUCAAAAUGUUUGUCUUGGGGUAAGUUGAGUUGGGGUGGGAUAAGAUUUGAAUCCCGAGCCAACUAGGUGAAAAAAUCUGCCGAAGUGCUAUUGAGCAAGGCACUUAACCCUAAUUGCUCUUGUAAGCCGCUCUGGAUAAGAGUGUCUGCUAAAUGUUAAAAAUGUGAAAUGGAAGGGUAAUUGAUAUUGAACAGAGAGAUCUAUAUCCGAAUGUUGGUCGACAUUUAUGAUGUGCAAUAUACCACAACCCCAUUCCAUUAAUUUGCAUUUGACCAACCAACACCACAUCAACCACUGUCACAGGACACCAUCACCCACUUACCCCAAGGCAGCUCAACUUACCCUGUCCCUAUGCUCAACUUACCUCAUACCUGGGGUAAGUUGUUUCAAGAGAACACCUUUUUUGGACAAGCUAUAUUUUCAAAACGGUCAUGUUUACAUAAAUUCAGAUUAUUUCCAGGGAUAUUCAACAUCAUGAAAUGUAUGUACAGUAGAAAUCUUUGUUAGAAAGAAUACUAUAUUUCCAGUAGGGAAGCUGAAUAUAAAGAAUGUCUCAACGUACCUCACUCUCCCCUAGCUAUUCUUUAUUCAGGGUUGAAAACUGUAAUGUUCCACACAAGAAACAAAUUCUAAGUUGUAAUUUAUUGGUUUUUAUUCCACCCAAAUUCUGCAUAACUACAUCCAACUGCAUUCUGUAUGACAUGAUUCAAACUGCUGUGCCUUCAGAAACCUCAGGGGCCUGUCUUCACAUUCCACCUCAGAAAUGUGUCUGAUGAAAGAUGCAUCAGCAGUGCAUCAACUUGUGUCAACUCAUUCGUUAUGUUCCUUUUGACUGUUUUUAAUCAAUCAUAUUUUCUAUUCAUUAGCUUGAAAUAUGGGUGAACAUACCAAUGAUAUUAUUUGAAACAAACGGGAGUACCUUUUGUCUUUUAGCGAUACAAGUGAUAAUGAUGAUGAUUCCAAGCACCAACCAAAUUGUUUGUGCUCGACAAAGGCCAAGAUGUUAAAUGUAUAGGCUACAUUAUGAUUCCUUUUCAAGUCUCAUCCACAUUGUUGAGUGAAACUUUAUUGUGAGUCAAAUCUGGUAGAGGAAUUUUUUACAAAUGUAUGAGUAGAGGUGAAAAGGAAGGUAGUGUUACAGAGCACAUCAUAUAGAUUCUCAAAAGGUAUUUGCGUUUCAGCUUUUUAAAAUGUCAUCAUAUUUCCUGUGGAAUAAAUAGGCUUAAACUUUUGGAACUACAUCUCCCAAAAAUAAUUGAUUCAUCAUUUUGUAGAAAAAUAGUCAAAUAACAUUUGUCAAACUGGGUAGCAACAGUUGAGAUCCAUUUAAAGACACCUACCCAGUCAAACGAAUGGACUAGAUACUGACUUUGCAUUUGCGUCAUUAUCAUUGAGUAUAGCUCAACAAAAAAAAAAAAAAAACCUAAUAUUUCAAAUAUGAAUAUUGCAUGCUUAACAAAGUCUUCACAUUGAUACUGCAGUUUUGUAGAGCCAGGUCAUCUAAGCAAGUACUAUGUUCAUCUAAUCCAUACUAAACUAAUGUCGUACCUACAUUGUGAUAGACCAAACUGUAUUUUCUAUUUCCUAUUAUAUCACAUUGAUUAGACCUUAUUCUGUUACUAUUUCGGAAGUGUGAAAGCUUUUCCAACGCUAUGUCAUUAUCAGAUAUGCAAUGUCAGCGCAGUAAUACACAUCGCCCAAUCUGGUAACAUGUUUUGGUGGCUGUUGAUCUACACCUAACUGUACUGAUGAACUGAACUAGUAGCAUGUACAGUACAUGGUAAAGGGCCCUAGCCGUCACGUUUUCCUUGUUUUGAGAUCCUGAAAACUCAGUAAAUACUAGUAAAACAUAGAAUUAGCCAUCAUUUUGCUUAUGUUAUGACCGAGUGAGUAAUUUUGCAUAUACCAGCAUAUGCACCGACAUGAAUACAUUCGAAAUGUGCUAUUUGUUUUACACUAUGUGUAUUGGUACCCUUUGACAAAUUAGAAAAUAGGAUUGAAAGCAAUCUGACCAUCCUUCAAAUAAAAAAUGCAGUAAAGCAAGUCAACUUCUAAAGAAAAUGGUGUCAAAAUAUACAAGAAAAUCUCUCGCUCUCGCUCUGUCUCUCACGGCUGGCAUAAGUCUCUUCAAUAAUGAAUGUCUUCACGUUACAUAAUAUAUUUAAUCAACACACCUGUGGCCCAUCCGACACCCAUCUUCUUUACUACUCUGUCCAGUGAAAAGGAUAGGACCCAAUAUAAGUCAAAAUCUCCAAAUACAAAACCGUAUCACGUGAAGAACUAUUGUAAGAUCAUUUGUGUGCGGCAAUAUACGACUCUAUUCAUCUUUUCAUAAUCGUGGUCAGUAGACAAACGUCAUAAACAUAUGAAUGACAGAACAGGUGACAGUUGUUUUUUUUUUUUUACUGUAAUCUGAUUGGGUAAAGGUCAUGAGUACAUUUGAAAAAUACAGAAUGACAUAGCCACUCACACCAAAGCCUUUCUUCCCACGUUUUUUUUCUUAUUUUUUUCCUCUUUUGCCUUUUAAUAAGGUGAGCGCACAAUAUACACUCACUCAAUUAUUUCCCCCUUUUAAAAAGAAGUAAAGCAUGAAAGUAAACGACAAAGCACACAAAUAUCCAACAACUGAAACUGAGAGACUAAGUUUUUUUUUUUAAAUACACACAAACCACCAGUAGUAGGUACAAGUCUUCUGUCCAUUAAGGAAUUUGGAGAAUCAAAAAGCACAGUUAGUUAGUCCAGCUUUGCCAGCCCUGUCGUUGGAUGGUGUGGACCAGGGUAGAGGUUGUAUGUGGCACUACCAUGGGGGAUAGUGCUGCUGUACUCUAGUCUAGGCCAUCCUCUGCUGGCUGGUGGCAGUUGACAUGGAGGCUGUGAGGUCUGGGAGACCUGGGGCUCAGAGAGCAGAGCAGAGAGGGCCUGGCUGGGCUGAGGAGGCAGGCCAGGGGCCAGUAGCCAGUAGCCAGGGCCAGGGGUGAAGGGCAGGGCGGGGUGCUCGAGUCCAGGGGUACUCAAUGUGAGGGAGGGAGGCCCUACUGCCUAACCAAAAUGACACCUAGA